rnacentral:rRNA from 1 species
GACGAACCGUGCGAACGUUGUUCGGAAUCACUGGGCUUAAAGGGCGCGUAGGCGGUCUGCCAAGUCCGGGGUGAAAGCCCCCAGCUCAACUGGGGAAGUGCCUUGGAUACUGGCGGACUUGAGGGAGGCAGGGGUUGUGGGAACUUCCGGUGGAGCGGUGAAAUGCGUUGAUAUCGGAAGGAACGCCGGUGGCGAAAGCGCACAACUGGUCCUCUUCUGACGCUGAGGCGCGAAAGCCAGGGGAGCAAAGCGGG